CAUUAAAACAUUGGCUCCCGUGCGAUCACCGAGGUUAAGCAGCGUUGAGCUUGGUCAGUACCAAGAUGGGUUACCGCUUGGGAAUACAAGAUGCCGUA